GUCCCUGUAGCGCAAUGGAUAGCGCGUUGGACUCUUAAUCCAAGGGCCUUGGGUUCGAAUCCCACCUGAGAUG